rnacentral:lncRNA from 1 species
GCCCGUGCCUAGAAAAUGAUUCUAGAAUUUUACAUUGACCCGACCCGACUCAUGAUGAGGUGUGUAGUAACCCAAAUUCGUUUGGCCCAGACAAAACAAAAACCAAAAAAAUCAAAAAAUAAUAUUAAUAUCAUAGUCCAUUUUACAAAAAAAAAAAAACAGAGUGGCCAAAAUUACAAGCCCUAACCUAAACUACCCUAACCCAAACUUGCUAAACCCAAUAACCCAGCAACCCAAAAGCCCAAAACCUAAACAUUUUCAGAAACCUUAGCCCCCUCUCGUGCUGCAACCUCUCCCCAUCGGCAGGCGUG